rnacentral:lncRNA from 1 species
GUCCUCAGCAAGCUCCUCCAAAUGACCACUAUUUUGUGGCUGCGCAGCAUCAGCUGGUGGCGGCGUGGCAGUAGUACGAGGCACCGGUGCAGGAGGACCUGUAAGAAGAAAGUCCAGAGAGCUUGGCAGCACACUGGGAGGGUUAGUACUGAACGGAAAUUGCGUCUCAUCGAAGUCAACAUGACGGGAGAUGAUCCGUUUAGUUGUGAGGUCGAGACACCGAUACCCCUUGUGUGAGGAGGGAUAUCCGAGAAAGACACAAGCUGUGGAACGAGGGGACAGUUUGUGUUUGGAAGUGGCGGUGAGGUUAGGAUAGCAGAGGCAACCGAAGACACGGAGAAUGGUGUAGUCUGGGGGUUGCCGGAAGAGUUGCUCAUAAGGAACAUGAUGCUGAAUGGCUGAACAGGGGCGCCUAUUGAUGAGAUAUGUGGCUGUAGCUAGUGCCUCUGCCCAGUAUUUAGGUGCCAUGUGAGCGUGGAUGAGCAGCGUGCGGCAUAUGUCGUUCAGGGAACGGAUGAUGCGUUCAGCCUUGCCGUUUUGAGAGGAGGUGUAAGGGCAGGAGAGACGUAGGUGAAUGCCGCUAGAGGCAAAGAAGGUGGCGAGGGCAUUGUUGACGAAUUCAGUGCCAUUGUCAGCCUGAACAGCCUUGACAGGAACGCUAAACUGUGUGUGGACGAAGGCGCAGAACUGAGUAAUGUGAGUAGCUACCUCGGACUUGUGGACUAGGGGGAAGGUCCAGCAAAAAUGGGUGAAGUCAUCGAGGAUGACAAGGUAGUACUGUGCACCAGAAAUGCUAGCGACCGGGGAUGUCCAAACAUCACAAUGUAUAAGCUCAAACGGUAAAGAGGAAACUGAACUGGAAUUUCCAAAUGGCAGCCGCACAUGCUUGCCAAGUUGACAUGAGUGACAUAGAGUUUGGGCUGAUUUAUUACAGGAAAUCGAAUUAUUUUGUCUAAGAAAAUGGAGGGCAGCAGCUCCUGGAUGACCAAGAUGAUGAUGCCAUAGGUCGGUGGAGAUGGCGAGGUUGGCCUGUGGCGUGGCAGGGACGGUGUAGAGGCCGUCGGAGCUAUUGGAGCGAAGAAUCACGCGUCUGGUCUGCAGGUCCUUAACAGAAAAACCAAACGCGUCAAAUUCGAUAGUGCAAUGGUUGUCACGAGUGAAUUGGCGAACUGAAAGUAAGUUGCGCACUAGAGAGGGGACAACUAAAACAUUGUGAAGCGAAAAGGGAGACGCGUGGCCUGGUAAUGUGGAGCUGCCGGAGCAAGAGACAGGAAGAUGAUGACCAUUGCCAACAGUGAUGGAUGGAAUAGAAGAGGGUUGACGGGAGAGGAGUAUACCAUCCGAAUUGUGCAUGUGAGAGGUGGCGCCGGAUGUUAGAGGUAACACAGAUUUUGAUUAGCCUUGAGGCAACUAACCCCAGGCGUCUCCUUCAUAUAUAUAGAGAAAGACAGAUAUUGCAUUGAUUACAAACAGCUCACUAGAGCUUUAAUUAGACAGACUAGCUGCCUGGGUACCCGCACAACUCUUGGGCUACCCAAGGCCUUUAAUGACAGAAAUUUAACUAGCACAGUUAUCUAAGAAAUGCUUAGGAAGCAGGGCUUAUUAACUACAUUUCUCCCCCUAAGGCCUGCUUCAAUUAAUCUUGAUCUCCUUGAUCCCAAUCCUGCUCCUCAUCUCUUCCAGCUUGGUUUUGCCCAAAGCUUUAGUCAGUAUAUCAGCGAGCUGAUCUGCAGUGGGAAUGAACUCUGUCUUGAUGCUACCAUCUUCCACACAAUCUCUGAUGAAAUGAUGCUUGAUUCUAAUAUGCUUGCUCCUGUCAUGGAAAACAGGAUUCUUUGCCAAAGCCAGAGCAGACUUAUUGUCUACUCUGAGUUCCACCACUUCAACUUUUCUUCCCAACAAAUCUGCAAACAGUCUUGACAACCACAAAGCUUGGGUUGCAGCAGUUGUCAUCGCCACAUAUUCAGCCUCACAGCUAGACAGAGCAACAACUCUCUGUUUGACAGACUGCCAGCUGACCAGGCUGGUUCCAAGGAAGAACAAACAUCCAGUUGUGCUUUUGCUUGAAUCAACAUCUCCAGCCAAAUCUGAAUCACUGUAACCCACAAACCUUGCUUUGCCUGUUGAUCUAGUGUAGCAAAGCCCAUGAUCUAGAGUACCAGCCAGGUAUCUCAAGAUCCUUUUCACAGCCUGAAGAUGUUCAGUUGUUGGCUUCUCCAGAAAUCUGCUAACAUACCCUACAGCAAAAGCCAAAUCUGGUCUGGUGUGCACUAGGUAUCUCAAACUGCCAACCAGUCUUCUGUACUGAGUUGGAUUUACUUCUUUUGCUGUGCUUUCCUUGCUCAAUUUCAGCCUUUCUUCCAUGGGUGUGGUGGCUGGAUUACAACCUGCCAUACCACCAAGCUCAAGUAUCUUCUUAGCAUAAUGGGUUUGCUUCAGAGUGAUGUUCCCUUCUGAUUGUCUCACCUCAACUCCCAGAUAGAAGGACAGAAGACCUAAAUCACUCAUUUCAAAGGUUUGCUUCAUCUUUGCCUUGAAAGCUUCAAUCUUCUGCUGAUUGGCUCCUGUGAUGAUCAAAUCAUCAACAUAGACUCCAAUUACCAGUAAGGAGUCACCUGAUCCCUUUCUGUACAUAGCAGCUUCAUACACAUUCGGCUCAAAACCCAUCUGCUUGAGAGUGAAGUCAAGCCUGGCAUUCCAUGCCCGAGGAGCCUGUCUCAGGCCAUACAGGGCCUUGUGCAGCCUGUACACUUUCUUCUCUUCUCCUGUUACAGCAAAACCUGGAGGCUGUGUAACAUAAACCUCCUCCUGGAGUUCUCCAUUCAAAAAUGCAGACUUCACAUCCAUGUGAUGUACUGCCCAUCCCUCUUGUGCUGCUAAGGCAAGCAAAACACGCACUGAUUCCAUCCUUGCAACUGGUGCAAAAGCAUCUUCAUAGUCAACUCCUUCCUGCUGCACAAAACCACGGGCCACAAGUCUUGCCUUGUGCCUAAUUACAGCUCCAUGUUCAUCUUUCUUCAGCUUAAACACCCAUUUUAGUGAAAUGGGACGGUGACCAGGACGGGGAGAAACAAGUUCCCAAGUCCCAUUCCGCUCUACUGAUCUCAGCUCCUCCUUCAUCGCUGCUUGCCAAUCUGGAUCAUCUUUGGCUUCUUCAUAGCUUGUAGGCUCACCAGAAUGGGUGAGAUUAAGUUCUGCAAACAGCCGCUGCGCUGGCGGAGGGGUUGGCUGAUCACCAAUAAUGUCAUGAAUCUUCCGAUAGCGGAGUUCUUCAUCAUCAUGGUAGGCAUCCACCCUUUCAUCAUCAUCUUCCAGGGGAGUCACAUGCUCAACCUGAGGACUUGCUGGAGCUGGUGUAGGUGUUCUGGGUGACGCAGGCGCCUCUGCCUCCGCUGCGGGCUCCUCUGCUUCUGCUGCAGGCUCUCCUGCAUCCACCGGAGAGAAACCAGGCGAUGCAGGAUGUGGCGGAGGAGAUGGUGAAGGCGACGCUGAACUUCCUGCUUCAGGGAGUUCCUCUGCCCAUGGGAAUUCAACAGAAAACUCACUGCCCGCUGCUUCUGGUGUGCCUACUGCUGGUGAUGCCCAGUCCCAGCCGCGGCCUUCGUCAAACACCACAUCACAGCUGACACGCACGCGUUGGGACACUGGAUCAUAGAUACGGUAUGCCUUGGCCCCUUCCGCAUACCCGAUAAACACGCCAGCCUCUCCGCGGUCAUCGAGCUUGCGAAGCUGAGUAAGCCGCCGGGUAUAAGCCACACAGCCAAAGACCUUGAGGUGGCCGACUGUUGGUGCCCGACCAUGCCACGCUUCAUAAGGAGUGACAUUCUUCAGCGCCUUCGUCGGGGAUCGAUUCAGGAUGUGUACAGCCGUCAUCACAGCCUCCCCCCAAAACCGAGAGGGCAUCUGGCGUUGCUUGAGCAGAGCUCGUGCCAUGGCCACCACUGUUUGGUUCCUGCGCUCAACAACACCGUUCUGUUGCGGUGAAUAAGGGGCACUGAAAUGCCGUUUAAUACCUUCAUCAGCGCAGUAUGCAGUAAACUCUGCGACGGUGAAUUCACCGCCAUUGUCGGUGCGCAGGACCUUCAACUUGCGCCCGCUUUCCACCUCUGCUGCCACCUUAACCUUCUUGAUUGCUUCUGUUGCUGCGUCCUUGGAUGGCAGCAGCACAGCCCACAUAAAGUGGGUGGCGUCAUCGACAAGCAGCAAGAUAUAGCGGUUGCCCGCCGGUGUCGCUGGCGUGACCGGACCGCACAAGUCACCGUGCACCAGCUCAAGCUGAUUCUGGGCACGGUAUGCUGCUGCAGCCGGAAAGGAACGCCGCCUCUGCUUGGUGGUAACGCAGGUGUCACACACCUGCUCAACAUGGUCGACCACCGGCAUUCCGCGCGCCAUCUCCUCCUUGCUGAGUCGCCGGAGUGCAUCGAAGUGCAGAUGGCCGAAACGCUCAUGCCACUGCCACGCCUCUUCAUCCUUGCGUGCCGCGAGACAGACAGGUUGUGCAGCCUCAAGAUGCAGAAUAUACAACCUAUUCUUCCCUCUGCGUACCUUGGCGAGCAGACGGCGACUCUUGUCCCAAAUGCGAAGCACGCCAUCAUCAAUCUCAACCUUGGACCCUCCUUCAUCAAGUUGUCCCAGACUUAUGAUAGAGUUCUUCAGCGCCGGAAUGAAAUAGACGCCAUGAAGAACCCUCUGCUCACCGGUCUUGGCUUGGAAAACAAUAGACCCGACGCCCUUGAUCUCAACCUUCGACGCAUCCCCGAACCGGACCGUUCCUCGAACGUCAGUGUUCAGAUCAGCAAAGAGCUCUUGGCGCCCGGUCAUGUGAUGCGUCGCGCCGGAGUCCAGGUACCAGCCGCUGUCCACCUCUUCUUCGUCCACGCCGAGGUAGGCACGAGCGCGUGGCUCAGAGAGCUCGACGUGCUGCGCCGUGUAGCUGUGCACCAGCGUGCUCUGUUCCAGGCUGAUGAAGCCAUGUGCCAGAAACAGAGCACCAUCUUCAUCGCACUCAGCGUACUGGGCGCGCGUCUCAUGCCUUCCUUGGUUCCCACCACGCUGCCCAGCCUGAUUUCCGCCGCCACGACCUCCACCACGGUUGCCACCACCGCGGCCAGCACGGUUUCCCCCUCCACCGCCGCGCUCUGCAUCUUCACGGCGCGGCUGGGGACACUCACGUGCCCAGUGGCCUUCCUGGUUGCAGUUGAGGCAGGUGUUGGGGCCAACACGACCAGCGCCUUUGCCUUCUCCACGUCCGCCACCACGGCCAGCACCUCUGCCUCGUCCGCGUCCACCACCACGGCCGCGUCCGCCGCCACCGCUAUGCUGGUUCUUGAACCAGAACCGCCAGCUUCUUCUGCGCCUUGCUUCUCCUUCAAACGCGCACGCCACUGCUCCUCGGUGUACAGCAGCUUGCCGUUAAUGGACACCGGCUCUGUCACAGCUUGCGCUUCACGUUCAUCCACCGCCUUGAGCCUUCCUGUCACCUCCUCAAGCGAGAGCGCCUCGAAAUCGAGGAACUGCUCGAUGGCGACGACAAUCUGCGUACUUGGCAGGCACCGUGCGCAGAAACUUCUCCACAACACGCUUCUCGUCGAUGUCCCUGUCACCAUGAAGAACAAGCUGCUGGUGCAGAGUUGACAGCCGCAGGGCAAAAUCCUCCACCGGCUCGCCAGGCUUGACAUCCAUGUUCUCCCACUCCCGACGCAGCCGCUGCAACGUCGCUCGGCGGACCCUGUCCACACCGAUUCGAGUCGCAGCGAUGGCAUCCCAUGCCUCUUUUGCUGUCGCCUUGUCAAGGAGCGGGAGCCCCAACUCCUUGGGCACAGACGCGACAAUCACCUCCAAGGCUCGCCUGUCGUCGCGGUACUGCACUGGGCCUCCUUCGACAGCUUCCCAGAGAUCGCGCGCCUGCAUCCUGAGCUUCAUCGUCUGGCUCCACUCAUAGUAAUUUGUCUUGUCCAGCAUUGGCCAUGAUGUGCCGCUGCCGGAGUCGCGGUAAACCACCCUGCCUUGCGGUGAUUCAUAGCGGCCGCCGCCACGACGCCUUCUGUUACGCAGUGGUGACUGCGAACGGCGCCUGUCCCGCGAUGGAGUCCUCUGGCUCCUCAAGUCCUCCUCUUCCUCUUCCUCCUCUUCUUCUCCCUUCUCAGCAGCAAUUUCGGCCCGCAGCUCCUGCGCCGUCCUUGCUGCCGCCUCUGCAGCAGCCGCCGCCUGCUGUGCUGCCUGGACUGCCAGCGCUGCUGCUUCCUCUGCAGCCUUCAAGCGCGCAGCCUUGAGUCUGGCAACGCGCUCAGCAGAGGUCGACAUGGGUGGAGGAGGAGAGGAGAUGGCCUCGUGGCUCUCUGGUGUCUAACCUAGCUUUGAUACCAAAUGUUAGAGGUAACACAGAUUUUGAUUAGCCUUGAGGCAACUAACCCCAGGCGUCUCCAUAUAUAUAGAGAAAGACAGAUAUUGCAUUGAUUACAAACAGCUCACUAGAGCUUUAAUUAGACAGACUAGCUGCCUGGGUACCCGCACAACUCUUGGGCUACCCAAGGCCUUUAAUGACAGAAAUUUAACUAGCACAGUUAUCUAAGAAAUGCUUAGGAAGCAGGGCUUAUUAACUACACCGGAGUCCAUGACCCAGCCGGAGUUCUGGAGCGCCAUCUGGUUCAAGGCGGCGAUGAGGCCGGACUGAUCCCACACUGGAGCGGAUGGAGCUGUUGGAGGGGGAGCGAAGACGGUGUGGGCCUGCGGACUGGCGCCCAUGAUGCCCUGGCCGCGCUCGCCCAGAUCACCGUGAGGGGGCCAGCCGCCGGUGCUGUUGCCCUGCUGCCACCCGCUGCCUGGAGGAGGAAC